rnacentral:rRNA from 1 species
CCUACGCGUGGCAGCAGUGAGGAAUAUUGGUCAAUGGGCGCGAGCCUGAACCAGCCAAGUAGCGUGAAGGAUGACGGCCCUACGGGUUGUAAACUUCUUUUAUAAAGGAAUAAAGUGAGGCACGUGUGCCUUUUUGUAUGUACUUUAUGAAUAAGGAUCGGCUAACUCCGUGCCAGCAGCCGAGGUAAUACGGAGGAUCCGAGGGUUAUCCGGAUUUAUUGGGUUUAAAGGGAGCGUAGAUGGGUUGUUAAGUCAGUGGUGAAAGUUUGAGGCUCAACCGUAAAAUUGCAAGGGAUACUGGCAGCCUGGAGUACAGUUGAGGUAGGCGGAAUUCGUGGUGUAGCGGUGAAAUGCUUAGAUAUCACGAAGAACACCGAUUGCGAAGGCAGCCUACUAAACUGCCACUGACAUUGAUGCUCGAAAGUGUGGGUAUCAAACAGGAUUAGAUACCCGAGUAGUC